rnacentral:rRNA from 1 species
GGUUGUCGUCAGCUCGUGUCGUGAGAUGUUGGGUUAAGUACCCGCAACGAGCGCAACCCUUGUGUUUAGUUUGCAAACAGGUCAAGCUGUGCACUCUAGACAGGACUGCCGUGGACAACACGGAGGAAGGUGGGGAUGACGUCAAAUCAUCAUGCCCCUUAUGAUCUGGGCUACACACGUGCUACAAUGGCCGGUACAACGGGCAGCGAAGGAGCGAUCCGGAGCGAAUCCUAAAAAGCCGGUCCCAGUUCGGAUUGCAGGCUGAAACUCGCCUACAUGAAGUUGGAGUUGCUAGUAAUCGCGAAUCAGAAUGUCGCGGUGAAUGCGUUCCCGGGUCUU